AUACGGAGGAUCCAAGCGUUAUCCGGAUUUAUUGGGUUUAAAGGGUGCGUAGGCGGCCUGUUAAGUCAGAGGUGAAAGACGGUAGCUCAACUAUCGCAGUGCCUUUGAUACUGACGGGCUUGAAUAAACUAGAGGUAGGCGGAAUGAGACAAGUAGCGGUGAAAUGCAUAGAUAUGUCUCAGAACACCGAUUGCGAAGGCAGCUUACUAUGGUUUUAUUGACGCUGAGGCACGAAAGCGUGGGGAUCAAACAGGAUUAGAUACCCUGGUAGUCCACGCCCUAAACGAUGAAUACUCGCUGUUAGCGAUAUACAGUUAGCGGCUAAGCGAAAGCGUUAAGUAUUCCACCUGGGGAGUACGCUCGCAAGAGUGAA
rnacentral:rRNA from 1 species